rnacentral:rRNA from 1 species
AUUGAACGCUGGCAGCAGGCCUAACACAUGCAAGUCGAGCGGCAGCGGGAAAGUAGCUUGCUACUUUUGCCGGCGAGCGGCGGACGGGUGAGUAAUGCCUGGGAAAUUGCCCAGUCGAGGGGGAUAACAGUUGGAAACGACUGCUAAUACCGCACACGCCCUACGGGGGAAAGCAGGGGACCUUCGGGCCUUGCGCGAUUGGAUAUGCCCAGGUGGGAUUAGCUAGUUGGUGAGGUAACGGCUCACCAAGGCGACGAUCCCUAGCUGGUCUGAGAGGAUGAUCAGCCACACUGGAACUGAGACACGGUCCAGACUCCUACGGGAGGCAGCAGUGGGGAAUAUUGCACAAUGGGGGAAACCCUGAUGCAGCCAUGCCGCGUGUGUGAAGAAGGCCUUCGGGUUGUAAAGCACUUUCAGCGAGGAGGAAAGGUUGAUGCCUAAUACGUAUCAACUGUGACGUUACUCGCAGAAGAAGCACCGGCUAACUCCGUGCCAGCAGCCGCCGUAAGAC